rnacentral:rRNA from 1 species
AUUUAACGCUAGCUACAGGCUUAACACAUGCAAGUCGAGGGGCAGCAUGAACUUAGCUUGCUAAGUUUGAUGGCGACCGGCGCACGGGUGAGUAACGCGUAUCCAACCUGGCCCUUAGUAGGGGAUAGCCCGGCGAAAGUCGGAUUAAUACCCUAUGUUAUCCGUUGAGGACAUCUGAGAUGGAUCAAAGACUUGUCGCUAAGGGAUGGGGAUGCGUCUGAUUAGCUUGCCGGCGGGGUAACGGCCCACCGGGGCAUCGAUCAGUAGGGGUUCUGAGAGGAAGGUCCCCCACAUUGGAACUGAGACACGGUCCAAACUCCUACGGGAGGCAGCAGUGAGGAAUAUUGGUCAAUGGGCGAGAGCCUGAACCAGCCAAGUAGCGUGCAGGAUGACGGCCCUAUGGGUUGUAAACUGCUUUUGCAGGGGAAUAAAGUGCGGCACGUGUGCUGUUUUGUAUGUACCCUGAGAAUAAGGACCGGCUAAUUCCGUGCCAGCAGCCGCGGUAAUACGGAAGGUCCGGGCGUUAUCCGGAUUUAUUGGGUUUAAAGGGAGCGCAGGCUGUGGAUUAAGCGUGACGUGAAAUGCCGCGGCUCAACCGUGGAAGUGCGUCGCGAACUGGUUUACUUGAGUGAGUUCGACGCCGGCGGAAUUCGUGGUGUAGCGGUGAAAUGCUUAGAUAUCACGAAGAACCCCGAUUGCGAAGGCAGCCGGCGAGGCCUUUACUGACGCUAAAGCUCGAAGGUGCGGGUAUCGAACAGGAUUAGAUACCCUGGUAGUCCGCACGGUAAACAUGGAUGCCCCUGAUGCAUACAUGUAUGCGGCCAACCAAACUUAAGCAUCCACUGGGGGUACCCCGCACGGU